CUGGAGUGAAGGGGGAAAAAAGCAGCCAAGGUAAGUGGAAACAAACUUACCUCUACUGCACUUCCUUUUUCUGUAUGACAGUAUUGUCUGUCCCAUGAUGUGAGCUCAGGCGUCUGUGGAAAAACUCUGUACGAAAAUAUGCACCCUCUGUGUUUUCUUCAACAGUGCAUCAAGCAUGCAUGUUCUGCAUUUUCUCCAGCAGUACCUUACGAU